CGAGCGGGCGAGCGGGCGAGCGGGCGGGCGAGCCGCGGCGCUGCAGGAGGCGGUCCGGGAAGCCCCGGCAGGUAUCUCUUGGUGGGCACUGCGAAGGACUGCGAAGGACGGUCCCCGCGCCCCGAGAGGGACGAGCGAGCCGCCCCCGCCGAGGAGCUGCCCCGACGGCCCUGCUGAAGAAUGAAUGGUGCCCCUCAGCCCGGCCUUCCCCAGAGAGGACCUGCCUGCCUGCCUGCCGGCGGCCCACGCUGAGGUACAGCACCGUCUCGAGCCCUUACCAGGUUUUGACCUGAGAGGAAUGACAGCGUCAGCGAGUUGGUUUCGAGUAUAUAAGCUUUACUUCACACUUAUGUCAAAGCAGCACCAAGCAUAAGCAGACAACCCUGAGAACCACGGACAGGAGGGAGGCUCACAGCAGGCUACCUCUCCUCCUGAGGGCCCGCUGUGGUGGAGUCCCCCUCAGAAGGGCGAGCCGCACUCAGGUUAGCGGAGGAGAGUGCAGGACAUAGAGUCGUGGUGCGCUCUAAAGUUCCCAGUUCUGAGCGGGUCCUUAAAUAGUUCGCUAAAUCGUGCUAAUCUCACUUUGCCUCACUUCACACAUUCUCACUCUUACCUACAACGGCCUCCCUCGCAGUGGGCCUGCGCUCCCUUUCCUUUACUCUCCCUCCAGCCAGGCCUUUGCCUGCCUGCUGACAAGGCCUGCCAGUCUCCCUGGGCCCUCACUCCUUCCUCCAUCAGCCCUGGAACCAGCCGCUCCUCUCCAUAGGCUAGCAAUGUGAAGAACAAAACCAAGCCCUCCCCACGCCCACCCCUUGUCUUUUUUCUUGUCUUUUUUUUUUUGGCCCAAACUCACUAUGUAUCACAAGGUAGCCUUGAACUUGGGAUCCUCUUGCCUCAGCUUCACAGCUGGCACCCAGACAUUUAAGAGUUCUUUUAUCAUUUCCUCUCCAAUCAGGAAGGAAUUAUGAUUUAGGGUUAUUUUCAGAAACCUAACAGAAAAUGAAAAGGGAAUGAGCUUCCAGGUUGGUUUAUUUAUUUAUUUAUUUAUUUAUUUAUUUAUUUUUAUUAAGUAGAUUGAGGGGGAGGAUCCUUGAAAUGAGCCUGUUAAUCCUGAAGUCUCACUGUGGCACUGGACUUUCCUCCUGCUGCCCUAGUGUGUCCCCAGUAGGAGCUGGCCCUGCCGUCCUAGUACAGCAGGCACAGGACCUUUCCAGGGUUUUACAGCAUGAAUUGUGGGUUACAAAUGCAGCAGGAAUACUUGCAGAACUUUUACCGAAACACACGGCUAUUGAGGCAUUCACUUCUGUAUGGAAGUAUGCAUAUUGGUGUCGGUUUCUUUGUACAGGUGUGCUUAGAUAUUUUUUUAUGAUUUUUCAUGUGCAAGUAUCAAGGUUUGAAGUUUUAGUUAAAAAAAAAGAAAUGUUUUGUAGAUUACAUUCCCCCAAAAAACAAUGCUUACACACAAUGUAUAUUCCACGUUUUAAAGCUGAGAUGUGUUCACUUUACAUACUUAAGUUGACAUAGAACACUUAGAGUUAAUCUGGUAUUUUUGACUUCUCAAAGCUAAAAGAAAUAGAUUUUUUAGGUUUGACAUGGUUGUGUCAUAAUCAUCUCGUAAUUGACAAUUUUGCUUUGGGGCAAUAAAAGGAAAUUGGGAUAUCUUUGAACUGAAAAAAAAAAGAGAGAAAGAAAUACAGCAGGAAAGCCAGAUACCAUGUACACGUGUAAUCCCCAGCCCUGUGGAGAUGGAAGCAGGAGGGGUCAAGAGUUGAUGAUUAGGGCUGGCAGGUGGCUCACUGGGGAAAGGCUGCCAAGCCAGCUAACCUGAAUUCGAUUCCUGAAAUCCAUGUGGUGGAAAGAGAAUCUGUUCCCCCUAGUUGUCCUCUGAACUCCAAAGGCACAGAGUGAAAAAGUUCAAGGUCAUCUUCAGUUACUUGGUGAGUUUAAAAUACUAGAAUUUAGAGUGAACUUACUUUUUUUUUUUUUUUUUUUUUUUGGUGUUUUGAGACGGUUUCUCUGUGCAGCCCUGGCUGUCCUGGCACUCGAUCUGUGGACCAGGCUGGCCUCAAACUCAUAGAGAGCCUCCUGCCUCCCAAGUGCUCAGACUAAUGAACGUUUUAUGUCUGCUCAACUCCACCACGCUUGACCAUAGUAAAACGCCCCUUCUUUGCCACAUUCUCUGGCAGACAGCACUGUGUUCAGUCACCUCUCCCAUUACACAUUUAACAUGAACCCAGAAACCAUUUGUCUGAGGAAUGGAUCCUGAUUUUUUUUUUUUUUUGAUAAAGUGGCACCUCGCUAUGUAGCCCUGGCUGUCUUGACACUUAACAGGUAGAUUAGGCCAGCCUCAAACUAACAAAUUUGCAUUCCUCUACUUCCCAAGUGCUGGGAUUACAGGUAUGUGUCACUAUACCCAACUGAAGCAGUGAUUCUAAUAAAUUUCAGGUCCUGCCAGGCGGUGGUGGUUCACUCCAUUAAUCCCAGCACUCGGGAGGCAGAGGCAGGUGGAUCUCUGUGAGUUUGAGACCAGCCUGGUUUACAGAGUGAGUUCCAGGAAGAGCCAGGGCUGUUACACAGAGAAACUCUGUCUUGAAAAAUCAUUAAAACCAAACAAACAAAAAACCC
rnacentral:lncRNA from 1 species